rnacentral:lncRNA from 1 species
AUAAAAACAAAUAUCGCAAACUCCAUUUAAACUAUAUCCUGCUAUUAAAGGACCUAUGCUCUACCAUGGUCUUACGUUUCUCCUCCCAGUUUGAACAAAUGUUACCAGUUUCAGGGCUUUUGGAAUUAUUACCAGAUAAUGAUUUCACCAGCCCUCCGGGUUUAGAAAACAAUGCUUGAGGGCAACAGCUGUGGAACGCCUAGAAGACAGUGGAUGGUUUGGGCCACCAGGGGGCGCGCUAGACCAGCGAAUUGACACAACGUUUGCGGUCCGCUGAGACCCCCACAGCGCUCUGGGAGGUUAGUAAAGCUCAGGAGCUGCCUUUUAAGAUGGAUCGAGGGUUGAACAAAGAUGGAGGUGAGCUUGGUUCGAUGUGACCGCCGGGAGCUAGAGGCAGGGCAUCAUAUGCAGGGAGCUCUGAGAUCCGUGCGUUCCAUCCUGGCCGGCCAGCCUGUGGCUCCUCCUCCUCACCCCCGCCGCCCGCCAUCCUGGGGAGUUUUCGGAGCCUGCGGAGCGGGCGUCCUGCCGAAACCUGAGACGGGAGCCCUGGUUCUGCCUCGCCCUCCACCCGCGAAGGGGGCAACCGUACAAAGGGG